UACGGAGGGUGCGAGCGUUAAUCGAAAUUACUGGGCGUAAAGGGUGUGUAGGUGGCUAUAUAAGUUACUUGUGAAAGUCCCGGGCUUAACCUGGGUUUGUUGGGUGAUACUGUAUAGCUAGAGUAUAGGAGAGGGUAGGGGAAUUCCAGGUGUAGCGGUGAAAUGCGUAGAUAUCUGGAGGAACACCGGUGGCGAAGGCGCCUACCUGGCCUGAUACUGACACUGAGGCACGAAAGCGUGGGGAGCAAACAGG
rnacentral:rRNA from 1 species